rnacentral:rRNA from 1 species
GACGAACGCUGGCGGCGCGCUUAACACAUGCAAGUCGAACGGAAAGGCCUGCUUUCCCUUGUGGAUUGCGGGUACUCGAGUGGCGAACGGGUGAGUAACACGUGAGUGAUCUGCCCCCAACUUGGGUAUAAGCCUGGGAAACUGGGUCUAAUUCCCGAUAGGACUGCAGGGUGGUGCCUGUGGUGGAAAACGAUUUUCUAGUGGUUGGUGAUGAGCUCGCGGCCUAUCAGCUUGUUGGUGGGGUAAUGGCCUACCAAGGCGGCGACGGGUAGCCGGCCUGAGAGGGUGGACGGCCACAUUGGGACUGGGAUCCGGCCCAGACUCCUACGGGAGGCAGCAGUGGGGAAUAUUGCAGAAUGGGCGGAAGCCUGAUGCAGCGACGCAGCGUGGGGGAUGACGGCCUUCGGGUUGUAAACUCCUUUCGACCGAGAGGAAGCCACCUGGUUGGAAGGGUGGUGACGGUAGUGGUAGAAGAAGCACCGGCUAACUACGUG